UACGAGGGGGGCAAGCGUUGUUCGGAAUUAUUGGGCGUAAAGGGUUCGUAGGCGGUUUGAUAAGUCAUCUGUGAAAUCUCUGGGCUCAACCCAGAGUCUGCAGGCGAAACUGUCGGGCUUGAGUAUGGGAGAGGUGAGUGGAAUUUCCGGUGUAGCGGUGAAAUGCGUAGAUAUCGGAAGGAACACCUGUGGCGAAAGCGGCUCACUGGACCAUUACUGACGCUGAUGCACGAAAGCUAGGGGAGCAAACAGG
rnacentral:rRNA from 1 species